GAUGAAGAACGCAGCGAAAUGCGAUAAGUAGUGUGAAUUGCAGAAUUCAGUGAAUCAUCGAAUCUUUGAACGCACAUUGCGCCCCUUGGUAUUCCAUGGGGCAUGCCUGUUCGGGCGUCAUUUGUACCUUCAAGCUCUGCUUGGUGUUGGGUGUUUGUCUCGCCUCUGCGUGUAGACUCGCCUCAAAACAAUUGGCAGCCGGCGUAUUGAUUUCGGAGCGCAGUACAUCUCGCGCUUUGCACUCAUAACGACGACGUCCAAAAGUACAUUUUUACACUCUUGACCUCGGAUCAGGUAGGGAUACCCGCUGAACUUAAGCAUAUCAAUAAGCGGAGGA
rnacentral:misc_RNA from 1 species